rnacentral:lncRNA from 1 species
CAGUUCCAUUCAAUCCUCUAGAUCCUAGAGGCUCAGAUCUCUACCUUGCAAAGUGCUGAUUUCAGCCGUGCAACAACAGGUUACAUUAAGCUGCAAGUAAGAAGAGCUGGCCCCCAGAAUUAGAGUGCGAGCCAACCGUGAAAAAACUGAAGUGAUAAUUUGCAAAUUUGAAGUUUGGUUUUUAAAGAACUCACACUACCAGGAAGUUCCCAGGAUCCAACAUAAACAAAAUGUUCUGGAUUAUCCUCUGGAUCAUUUGAAAUGGUGAUUUUUAACAGUCUGGUAGUGCCAUUCCGGGGCCUAGCCUGAGCCAUCUGCUUGAGCAGUGAGUCACUCGCAAAGAGCCCUGAGAGCUGCGGAUGAGAGGUGCUGUAUGCAAUGGUACAAAAUAGGAUAUGUUGUAUGGAUUAUUUGACCAAAAGUCAAGAAGCUGCUCUUUUCCAUGCUCGUGCAUGGAAAUACAAAAGUGAAACUGACUUGAAAUCAAAAUGAAACAGACUCACCUAUUUCUGUUGACCUAGAAAAUUAAAGAACAGAAUUGACCUGAGAGCAUAUAGGAUAAGAAGUAAAUAGGUUUUUAAAGAUUUUUUCCCAGCAUUCAAAGGCACAAUAUGUGUCUUUUCUUACGCCCUCCGUUCAGCUACUGCAAAAUUACUAGAUGCCUUUUCUAAUCACCCAAACUCAAAACCUUAGAGCUGGCUAUGUCAACUCCAGUGCCUUCUGGGAAAGUAUGCACGUAAGAUAAAAGGAAGAAAGAGGUAACUCCUCAAAAGGAGAGUGCACACAAUGACAACGGCGAACCUGGCACAUUUGGUGCCCACACCUGGAGUUUUUUUGACCUCUGCUUUAUCAUAUUGUACUUUUUUUUUUAUCCAGAUCUAUUCAGUCACCAAGGCUUAUUGCUUCUCAUUUCUUAUGUCUCUUGUAUCCUUUCCUUUCUACUUCAUAGCAGUCAUCUUAAUUAAGCCAGUAUCCCUCAGACUUCCACAACAUUCUUGCUAUUGCUACCCUUCAGUGAGCAUGUGUACAUCCCUAUUUUGCUUGUUAUUUAAGAUUGAUAUCCUACUUGAAAAGAAAGAAGACCCAAUAAUGCUUUACUACUGA